GAAGAACGCUGGCGGCGUGCCUAAUACAUGCAAGUCGAGCGAACGGACGAGAAGCUUGCUUCUCUGAUGUUAGCGGCGGACGGGUGAGUAACACGUGGAUAACCUACCUAUAAGACUGGGAUAACUUCGGGAAACCGGAGCUAAUACCGGAUGAUAUUUUGAACCGCAUGGUUCAAAAGUGAAAGACGGUCUUGCUGUCACUUAUAGAUGUAUCCGCGCUGCAUUAGCUAGUUGGUAAGGUAACGGCUUACCAAGGCAACGAUGCAUAGCCGACCUGAGAGGGUGAUCGGCCACACUGGAACUGAGACACGGUCCAGACUCCUACGGGAGGCAGCAGUAGGGAAUCUUCCGCAAUGGGCGAAAGCCUGACGGAGCAACGCCGCGUGAGUGAUGAAGGUCUUCGGAUCGUAAAACGCUGUUAUUAGGGAAGAACAUAUGUGUAAGUAACUGUGCACAUCUUGACGGUACCUAAUCAGAAAGCCACGGCUAACUACGU
rnacentral:rRNA from 1 species